ensembl:lncRNA
AUCCUCUGUGCUAGUCUUUGGGGACUUUGGUCUAUGGCUCAAUCGCUGUACUACCUUCUGAUGUUUUAUCGUUGUCCAGAGAAUAACAGAUCUGUGUGAAGCACACAGCAGAAUCUGAUUCUCACAAUGUUUUCUUUUAUAUAAUUGCAGAUAACAGCUUGGAGCGAAAACGGUAUGUACCAUGAAAUAACUCACUUCCUGAGGGAAAAACUUGCUAGCAUCAGUGUAUAGGAACCGGAUUCUGGGUUCCUGCUGGGAAAGGGGAUUGGGGUUUUCGCGAAAGUGAUUUUGCCAGUGUAGAACUCUGGCCCGAGAAACUGUAGGGAGGUUUGUCAACCCAGAAGAAAGAUUAGGGGAUCAUGUAUGAAGCAGCGUGGGGUGGGAGAAUAGCCCAUCCUUCAGCUUCAGCUAAAGUAGGAGGAGUGGGUGAGCCACUCUGUCUAAUGACUUAUCCUGGUGUUUUUCUUUCUAAAGACUUGAUGCUGGAGAGUAUAAGUGAUAGAAGUUACGAGGAGACUCAUCCAGGUUUGGCUAUCCGUCCCAAGCGCUGGACCACAAAAAUAUGGAGAUGGACCAAAAUUUGGCGUGCAGGAAAUAAAGGUAAUGUGGAAAUUAAAUCAUUAAGUUCACUUAAGCAAAUAAUUCCAGUUUAGUGGGUGGGUGCCCUGAGCUUCUUGCAGCUCCUGAUGUAAACAGGGAUAAAGGACAUAUGAGAUUAGUCUGGAAUCUGAGGCAGAGUGUGAUGAGGAGGCUGUGAGUUUGGGGUAGGGAGGGAAAAAGGGGCCUGGCUGAAAGGAAGGCAGGGUCCUGGGCUCUCUACAGUCCAGCCUGGGAAGGACAGAGCCCAGGGAGGCCCAGAGCUCCCUCCUGACACCUGCACAAAGAAGUGUAGUCUGGCCAGACAGUGCUCUGUAGACUGCUGUGGGGUUGGGGAGUGGCUUCUCCUAGGUACAGGACCUCAGGCACCUGCAGGAUGCAGGGCUCCAGGGUCCCUCGGAUGCCUGUUGAUGGUUCUCCUCUGAGGGGGUGUAAAUUGGCUCGCUGGGUACCCACAAUGGGCAAGGCACUUGCUCUCAGUAUAAUGCACUAAACACUGACAAAUCCACAUCCAUUUAUGAUAGGCACAAUUACAAUUACUAUCCCCAUUUUAGAGCUAGGGAAACUGAGACACUGAGCAGUUAACUUGUCCAGGCUCCGUAGAUAAACAGUCAGGGUAUCAUUUUUGACUGCCAUCAUGGAUCAGGCUUCAGUUGGUCAUGGACUCUAGCGACUGGUCACAAAACACACAAAUACCAAGAGGCACAAAAACUGCCAUGAGAGAAUGAAGUACAGCUGGGGUCUAAACACAAGCAGGCUCCCUCCACAGUGUGAGCUCCUAGCUACUGGCUGUCCCACUGCCCUUGUCCAGCCUUGGCUGUCUGGGGUGGCAGUUGUGCCUGGCUGCAGUUGAACGACCAGUUGCCUUUUCCAGACCGGCUCCCCACUGCCCCACUCCCACCAGCAGCCUCUUAGGUCCAAGAAGCUGAUAAUGGUGUGAUAAAAUGGGCUUUUGAGAAUGGAGACAAGGGUGUGGGUGAACUGAAAAACGCUGAACAAAGGGGUUGUCCCCUCCUCAUCCAGGGGAAACCAUUUCUAGGAGUUGACCAGAGUGCUGACCCAAGGUGAGCAGGCCCCAAGGGGCAGGCCAGCAUGUGCUACAGGGACAUCUCAGCAAUGUUCAAGCCCCACAGUUAAGCAUUUUCCCUAACGUGGCCUAGAGAAAUGAUGGCGACCUUCCUGUGCUUUUCUCCUGGACCUCACCAGGAAUGUGCAUGUGAGGUUCCAGGGCGAGCCUUACUACGGACCAGGCUGUGAAACUGGGAGCUGCCUUGAAAAGACAUUCCUCAAGAUGUUGCCAAAAAAAGUGGUGUUUAUUUCCAUGACUGAAGGGGCUGCUUCCGUCCUCCUGAUCAAGGGGAUGCAGGGGACAUGCUCAGAGGAUCAGCGACCACCUGCCCUAGACCUAUGGAGACAGGUGAGGGUGGCAUUGCUGCAGCUCCCCAGGGAGGCCUGUGCAGCUGUGACACCACCUCCAUCACCCACUUGAGGGCUCAGCGGCCCCAUACUGAUCCCAUGGUGCUUCCCAUGCCCCUCACCCCACUCUCUGUUGUUUCUCUGAGGAGGGUUGGAGGCAUUCCCUAGCCAGGCGCUGAGGACUGUCCUUUUGUAUUAGGAGGGAGUCUGUGGGUCUUCAUACUGCACUCGAGGAGGAUGAGAUAUGAGUCCCUACAAGGGCUUCCCUCCUGUGCCAUGGCCUGCCUGUUCCCUGACCUUUGCCUAUUUCUUCUGUCCUUGACUAUUUUAGAUAUGGUCUGUGGCCUAGAGGCACAGCAGGGCCCCACAGUGGCCCCAGCAAAGGCAAUCGAGGUGGAGGAGCGGAUGUAUGGGGAGUCACAGAGGCGCUGGCCCCGGGAGAGGCCACCGAGGGGGUGGAGGCUGCUGAGGACGAGGGAAGGUUCAGAGUGGGAUGACGUGUCAGAGAAGUACCCAGCCAACAGCUAACUGAGCCUGAUGCCUGAGCAGUAAGGAGUUUUCCCUGGACAGUGGGUCCUGGGUUGCAGUUCUUGCUCACCUGGGAAGGAUGUGGAGUCUAGUGAGGAUACAAUAGUGGCCCUGAGAGGGGCAUCAGGGAAAAAUGAGGAGGGUUCCAGGAACCCUGCUGUGGGCUAGAGGCAGAAAACCCUUGAGCCCAGGCCAUAACCAGACCAGGAACAGGGCUGAACCUCCCAGUCGCAUCCAUGAACUCGGUUAGAGGACCAUUUAUUUGGUGAGGGGUCCAUGGUUGUGCCAUCACCAAGGGGCAUGAAAAAGCUGGAAAAGGGAAUGCUUCCGUGUAGUUUUCAGUUUUAAAGUGCACAUUAGCUAUAAAAGCUACUGGCAAGUCCUGCAGUUGGAAAACAGUUAAUUUUAUAUAACCUUUAAAGUCAAUAAUUCUAUUCACUGUCCCAACCAACUUAGCAAGCCCUAGAAUGCUCCUUCAAGACACUGGUGUUCAUGUCGCUAGUGCUGGGAUGUGGGGUGAGGCUAAGGCACACAGGUGAUCCACUGUGAUUAAAUGGAUCAGGUUCAGGGUUGACACCAGCCAGGCCAGGGACAGAGCAUGGGGCUGAGAUCUUAACCUUGAAGAGUAUCCAAUUCUAAAGACAGGGUGCAGGGUACAGUUAGUGUAUGGUUAUGGCUGGAGCCAUCAUGGCCAGCCCGUGUGAAGUUAGGAUUCAGGUGGACUGGGUCGAAUGAGAAAGGUGCCAUCCCCAUCACAGAAUGGGCAUCCAUUGGUGGUCUGAUGGAGGCUGUGUCAGAAUCCUAUUCCGUUAGGAAUUGGGGCCAGGUCACACUAGGUCAAGGCAGGGUGAAUGUGACUUGAGGGCUACAGGCAAGAACAGGCUUUCACGAGACACUGCUACCCUAGACCCCAACUCACCAGGCCCUACUCCCUCCCUCACUCCUGUGGCUCAGCACCCCCAUGUGACAAGGCCUUGAGCCAGGAACCCUGCAGAAGGGAGGAGGGAGGGGAAGGCCCUGGACUCCAGGAGGCUGCAGGAAGGGUCAUCUACAGACAGGGCUCCUGAGUCUGCAGGACAUGCUCCCUUCCACAUGAGAAUCCCAGAGGGGACAAGGGGCAGGGUACAUAUAGUAUAGACCCCUGUCCUAUGAUCAGGUAGCUGGAGGGCAGCAGGGAGAGGACAGCAGAAAAGACCCUGUAGAGUAAGAGAAGUCCAGGACAAACUCUCUGGUCCUCCAAGGCCUUUGCUCCAUAGGGAGGCUCCAGGACCCAGAUUUGGGUAAAAGAGACCUGAAGGGCAAAGGCCUGAAUCCCUCAGAACGGAGGAGCCAGGUCACAAAUAUGCCCAGCAUAGACCACAGCAGAGGAUCUAGGAGAUCGGGGGGCAAAGAGAUCCCAGAUUCCCUGCCAGGAUGUGAGGAGGUGGCAGGGAGACGACUGAAGGUCCCCUGUGUGUGUGACAGGUCAAGGCCUAGGAGGGUCUCAAAACAGGCAGGGCCAGGCUCUGGAGUUCUCAGGACUGGCAGAUUUGUUUCAGGAACACUCUGAGGCACCCUCCUCAGGGACAUUGUGACCCACAUCUGAAGUGCCCUGCACUGGAACCGGGGACCUGACCCCUGCCACACACUGAGGUCAGGGCUCCCUCCAUGGAAGCUCAGCCUCUCAUGUCCUGUCCCUCCUACGCCCCACAGGAUAGCCGAAGGCCAUCCACACAGUCACUCCGUUUCUGCCCUCCAAGACAACAAGGUCCAAGACAACAAGGUCACACUGGUGUGUCUCAUCAGUGACUUCUCAGGUGCUGUGAUGGUGGCCUGGAAGGCAGACGGCACCCCCAUCACCCAGGGCAUGGAAACUACAAAACCCUCCAAAUAGAACAACAAGUACGCAGGCAGCAGCUACCUGAGCCUGACCAGUGGAGGUCCCACAGAAGCUACAGCUGCCAGGUCACGCAUAAAAGGAGCACUGUGAAGCUGACAGAGACCCCUGCAAGAUGUGCUCAGGCCCCUGACCCUCACCCCAUCCAUAGGGUGCUGGAGCUGCAGGAUCCCAGGGCAGGGGUCUCCUCUCUCAUUCCAAGGCAUCCAGCCCCUCUCCCUGCAUCCAAGUAACCCUCAAUAAAUAUUUUGAAUUAGAAAUCCUGUUCCA